UCCCAUAUGGCUCAGCUGGUAAAGAAUCUGCCUGCAAUGUGGUAGACCUGGGUUCAAUUCCUAGGUUGGGAA
rfam:Ovis aries breed Texel chromosome 3, whole genome shotgun sequence.